rnacentral:rRNA from 1 species
GACGAACGCUGGCGGCGUGCUUAACACAUGCAAGUCGAACGGAAAGGCCCUGCUUUUGUGGGGUGCUCGAGUGGCGAACGGGUGAGUAACACGUGAGUAACCUGCCCUUGACUUUGGGAUAACUUCAGGAAACUGGGGCUAAUACCGGAUAGGAGCUCCUGCUGCAUGGUGGGGGUUGGAAAGUUUCGGCGGUUGGGGAUGGACUCGCGGCUUAUCAGCUUGUUGGUGGGGUAGGGGCUUACCAAGGCUUUGACGGGUAGCCGGCCUGAGAGGGGGACCGGCCACAUUGGGACUGAGAUACGGCCCAGACGCCUACGGGAGGCAGCAGUGGGGAAUAUUGCACAAUGGGCGGAAGCCUGAUGCAGCAACGCCGCGUGCGGGAUGACGGCCUUCGGGUUGUAAACCGCUUUCGCCUGUGACGAAGCGUGAGUGACGGUAAUGGGUAAAGAAGCACCGGCUAACUACGUG